AUAAAUUUGCUGAUUUUUUUAAAAUCCUGACUUUUAUAUCUGUCCUGUAGGUGGAGCUGGAGCUCCAGAAAUACUCAACACAUGUAACACUGUGAAACUUAUGAAGCUGCUUUAGAGGGGAAGGUGUUAGGUGUCUUUAGUAACUCUUGUAUAACUAAAGAGCUUAGAGUCACUCAGUGUUCACUGUUCAUUCAGAAAACAAGUCAACAUGCUCACAUUAUUCUUUUUUUCUUGGCUCCUUGGUGUUUGUCUGGCUGUUGAAGUCUACCAGAGUCCUUCAGCUCUACUCAGAAAACCUGGAGACAAAGUCCAGCUGGUCUGCAGUCAUGAAAAAACUGACUACAGACUCAUGCAGUGGUACCAGAAAUCCCCUGGAGACCGAGCUCUGAAACGCAUUGGACAUGUGUAUCAAAAGAGCAUAGAGCACGAGGAGCCUUUCAGAGAACAUUUUAAUAUCACUGGAGACAUGAGUGGAGACAAAGCAAAGAACAGUUCUCUGUUUAUAACCAACCUAAAGACACCUGAGCACACUGCAGUGUACUACUGUGCAGCUAGCUAUGCACACUGACUACAGAUCCUCUCUGCUUCAUACAAAAACUCUGAAACAACUUUUAUCAACUAUUAUGCUUUUGAAUGGGAACUU